rnacentral:tRNA from 3 species
AAUAAGAUGGCCGAGAAAAGGCAGUAGAUUGUAAACCUACCAACGGGAAUUCCCUCUUAUUA